rnacentral:rRNA from 1 species
UACGGGGGGGGUAAGCGUUGUUCGGAAUUACUGGGCGUAAAGGGCUCGUAGGCGGCCAACUAAGUCAGACGUGAAAUCCCUCAGCUUAACUGGGGAACUGCGUCUGAUACUGGAUGGCUUGGAUUCGGGAGAGGAAUGCGGAAUUCCAGGUGUAGCGGUGAAAUGCGUAGAUAUCUGGAGGAACACCGGUGGCGAAGGCGGCAUUCUGGACCGAGACUGACGCUGAGGCGCGAAAGCGUGGGGAGCGAACAGG